CUUUAUUUUUUCACAAAUACUGCUUAAAAGCCAGGCUUGCUUUCCUGCCUUAAGGAGGUGCAGUAGAACUUAGAAGCCACCAGAUGUCACUAUUGCAGAUAGCAUUCCAAAUUCCCCAGCUUGCAUCUGAUACCAUCAGUGCAGUACGAGUUGACAGGCUCCAAGAAGUCAUCUAAACUGUCCCUCCUGACAGGAAGCCACAGUGAACAGAGAUGGGGUCUCACUUUGUUGUCCGACUGGUCUUGAACUCCUGGCCUCGAGCGAUCCUCCCACCUCAGCCUCCUGAGCAGCUGGGACCAGAGCUGCUGUCACUCAAUUGGAAAAAGAAUGAUGAAUAAUUUUAAAUGAUUUUCCUACAGGAACUCAUUAUACAAUGACAAAUGGAGGCAGCAUUAACAGUUCUACACAUUUACUGGAUCUUUUGGAUGAACCAAUUCCAGGUGUUGGUACAUAUGAUGAUUUCCAUACUAUUGACUGGGUGCAAGAAAAAUGUAAAGACAGAGAAAGGCAUAGAUGGGCUGGAGUGCAGUGGCGUGAUCUUGGCUGACUGCAACCUCCACCUCCUGGGUUCAAGCAAUUCUCCUGCCUCAGCCUCCUGAGUAGCUGGGACUACCGACGUGCAUCACCAUGCC
rnacentral:lncRNA from 1 species